rnacentral:rRNA from 1 species
UACGUAGGGCGCAAGCGUUGUCCGGAAUUAUUGGGCGUAAAGAGCUCGUAGGCGGUCUGUUACGUCCGCUGUGAAAACCCAGGGCUUAACCCUGGGCUUGCAGUGGAUACGGGCAGACUAGAGGCAGGUAGGGGAGAAUGGAAUUCCCGGUGUAGCGGUGAAAUGCGCAGAUAUCGGUAGGAACACCAGUGGCGAAGGCGGUCUCCUGGGGCAUUCUUGACGCUGAGGCGCGAAAGCUGGGGGAGCAAACGGG